UACGUAGGGUGCGAGCGUUGUCCGGAAUUACUGGGCGUAAAGAGCUCGUAGGCGGUGUGUCGCGUCGGCCGUGAAAACCUGCAGCUUAACUGUGGGCUUGCGGUCGAUACGGGCAUCACUGGAGUUCGGCAGGGGAGACUGGAAUUCCUGGUGUAGCGGUGAAAUGCGCAGAUAUCAGGAGGAACACCGGUGGCGAAGGCGGGUCUCUGGGCUGAUACUGACGCUGAGGAGCGAAAGCGUGGGGAGCGAACAGG
rnacentral:rRNA from 1 species